rnacentral:rRNA from 1 species
UCACUUUAACACUGAGGCGUGACGACGAGGCACUACGGUGCUGAAGCAACAAAUGCCCUGCUUCCAGGAAAAGCCUCUAAGCAUCAGGUAACAUCAAAUCGUACCCCAAACCGACACAGGUGGUCAGGUAGAGAAUACCAAGGCGCUUGAGAGAACUCGGGUGAAGGAACUAGGCAAAAUGGUGCCGUAACUUCGGGAGAAGGCACGCUGACACGUAGGUGAAGUGAUUUACUCAUGGAGCUGAAGUCAGUCGAAGAUACCAGCUGGCUGCAACUGUUUAUUAAAAACACAGCACUGUGCAAACACGAAAGUGGACGUAUACGGUGUGACGCCUGCCCGGUGCCGGAAGGUUAAUUGAUGGGGUCAGCGCAAGCGAAGCUCCUGAUCGAAGCCCCGGUAAACGGCGGCCGUAACUAUAACGGUCCUAAGGUAGCGAAAUUCCUUGUCGGGUAAGUUCCGACCUGCACGAAUGGCGUAAUGAUGGCCAGGCUGUCUCCACCCGAGACUCAGUGAAAUUGAACUCGCUGUGAAGAUGCAGUGUACCCGCGGCAAGACGGAAAGACCCCGUGAACCUUUACUAUAGCUUGACACUGAACAUUGAGCCUUGAUGUGUAGGAUAGGUGGGAGGCUUUGAAGUGUGGACGCCAGUCUGCAUGGAGCCGACCUUGAAAUACCACCCUUUAAUGUUUGAUGUUCUAACGUGGACCCGUAAUCCGGGUUGCGGACAGUGUCUGGUGGGUAGUUUGACUGGGGCGGUCUCCUCCUAAAGAGUAACGGAGGAGCACGAAGGUUGGCUAAUCCUGGUCGGACAUCAGGAGGUUAGUGCAAUGGCAUAAGCCAGCUUGACUGCGAGCGUGACGGCGCGAGCAGGUGCGAAAGCAGGUCAUAGUGAUCCGGUGGUUCUGAAUGGAAGGGCCAUCGCUCAACGGAUAAAAGGUACUCCGGGGAUAACAGGCUGAUACCGCCCAAGAGUUCAUAUCGACGGCGGUGUUUGGCACCUCGAUGUCGGCUCAUCACAUCCUGGGGCUGAAGUAGGUCCCAAGGGUAUGGCUGUUCGCCAUUUAAAGUGGUACGCGAGCUGGGUUUAGAACGUCGUGAGACAGUUCGGUCCCUAUCUGCCGUGGGCGCUGGAGAACUGAGGGGGGCUGCUCCUAGUACGAGAGGACCGGAGUGGACGCAUCACUGGUGUUCGGGUUGUCAUGCCAAUGGCACUGCCCGGUAGCUAAAUGCGGAAGAGAUAAGUGCUGAAAGCAUCUAAGCACGAAACUUGCCCCGAGAUGAGUUCUCCCUGAGACUUAGAGUCUCCUGAAGGAACGUUGAAGACGACGACGUUGAUAGGCCGGGU